rnacentral:rRNA from 1 species
AUGUGCUGCACCAUGGAGGCGCUCGUGGAGGUGCUCUCGCCUUCGGAACCACCUCGAUCCGCGUCUGGAACCAUCCUGCUCGUCUCCAACUUUUCCAGCUCACUGAUGAGGACCUCGUCUCGGCCUCCCUACCAGCCCCAUCGGUUUGAUGUCGAGGAGGUUCGGUUCCUACACCAAUGGUUACAGCGGGCUCUGCUGCAGGUAUGCUUAUCCUCUCCACCACUCUUUUCCAUCUCUCUCCUAAUGAUUCAUUUUUUUGUGCUCAUGGAGUGCUUGAUGAAUUGCUUGCAGGAAGCAGGGUCUAAUGAUGUACAAUUUUGCAGCUGCUGGUUUAGUUGUUCAAAUGGGAGCUUCGUAGGGGCAUGCCCUCAAUUCCAUUACCUUUCUAGAUUGUUGUUUCGUUGUUGA